UCUGUCUAGUGAUGCCAAUUUUUUCUGGGGAAUAACUGGUUUUUUGCUGGGGGAAUAGAAUUAGCAACCGGAUUCAUUGGAAAGCAUGGUUAGACCUUCUCCUCGAUCCUGAAGUCUUUUAGUAACCGUUAUUGCUAUUUUAUGCAUGUAUUUUCGGUAAACAUCAAUCAUAUUCAAAUGCAUAUAUUAAUUCGAAUCAAAUCAAUGGACGUUUAUGCAAACAAAACAGAGAGAGUAAAAUAAAAGCAUAAAAUUGUAUCGAUUUUGAAAGAGGGCCUAUAAACAGGCAAUUUGAGUACAAGGAGACAAAAAUCCUAGUAAGAGGAAAUUGUCCAGAAAACAAAGAGAAAGCUAUGCAGAAAAAGUCCCAUUGAUUUUAAUUCCACUACUGUCAUUAUG
rnacentral:lncRNA from 1 species